rnacentral:rRNA from 1 species
GACGAACGCUGGCGGCGUGCUUAACACAUGCAAGUCGAACGAAGUGGCGAACGGGUGAGUAACGCGUAAUCAACCUGCCCUUCAGAGGGGGAUAACAGUUGGAAACGACUGCUAAUAACGCAUACUGACGGAGGGGGUGGCGUCUGAUUAGCUAGUUGGAGGGGUAACGGCCCAACAAGGCGAUGAUCAGUAGCCGGUCUGAUAGGAUGAACCGCCAACGUGGGACCGAGACACGGCCCAGACUCCUACGGGAGGCAGCAGUGGGGAAUCUUCCGCAAUGGACGAAAGUCUGACGGAGCAACGCCGCGUGAGUGAUGACGGCCUUCGGGUUGUAAAGCUCUGUUAAUCGGGACGCGGUACCGGAAUAGAAAGCCACGGCUAACUCCGUGCCAGCAGCCGCGGUAAUUC